UACGAAGGGGGCUAGCGUUGUUCGGAAUUACUGGGCGUAAAGGGCGCGUAGGCGGCCAUUCAAGUUAGGUGUGAAAGCCCUGGGCUCAACCUAGGAAUUGCACUUGAUACUGUUUGGCUUGAGUUCGGGAGAGGUGAGUGGAAUUCCCAGUGUAGAGGUGAAAUUCGUAGAUAUUGGGAAGAACACCAGUGGCGAAGGCGGCUCACUGGACCGACACUGACGCUGAGGCGCGAAAGCGUAGGGAGCAAACAGG
rnacentral:rRNA from 1 species